rnacentral:rRNA from 1 species
GUGUCAGCCGCCGCGGUAAUACAGAGGGUGCAAGCGUUAAUCGGAAUGACUGGGCGUAAAGGGCGCGUAGGUGGCAGCUUAAGUUAGAUGUGAAAUCCCCGGGCUUAACCUGGGAACUGCAUUUAAUACUGGGCAGCUAGAGUAUGAGAGAGGGCAGUGGAAUUUCCGGUGUAGCGGUGAAAUGCGUAGAUAUCGGAAGGAACACCAGUGGCGAAGGCGACUGCCUGGCUUAAUACUGACACUGAGGCGCGAAAGCGUGGGGAGCAAACAGGAUUAGAAACCCUCGUAGUCC